rnacentral:rRNA from 1 species
GACGAACGCUGGCGGCGUGCUUAACACAUGCAAGUCGAACGGAAAGGCCCUUCUUUUUACUCGUGUUCCGAACGGGUGAGUAACACUUGGGUGAUCGUCCCUUCACUUUGGCUUAAGCCUGAGUAACUGGGUCUAAUACCGAAUACGACCACGCGCUUCUUGGGCUGUGUUGGAAAUCUUUGGCGGUGUGGGAUGGGCCCGCGGCCUAUCAGCUUGUUGGUGGGGUAGUGGCUUACCAAGGCGACGACGGGUAGCCGGCCUGAGAGGGUGACCGGCCACACUGGGACUGAGAUACGGCCCAGACUCCUACGGGAGGCAGCAGUGGGGAAUAUUGCACAAUGGGCGGAAGCCUGAUGCAGCGACGCCGCGUGCGGGAUGACGGCCUUCGGGUUGUAAACCGCUUUCAACAGGGACGAAGCGUGAGUGACGGUAACUAGUGAAGAAGCACCGGCCAACUACGUG